UGGGGUUGUUUUGUUUUGCUUUUUAUGUUUAUUUGAGGAAAGAGGGCCUAGAGCUUCCUAUCAUACAGUUUUGCAGCUGUUAUUCAAUACCUCUACUAUUACAAUGCAUUGAAUAGUUGCACUCUCUGAACUUUUCUUCCAUUAGUGAAACUCCCUUUUUGCUUUACUGAGCCACUGUUGAUUGUAGGGUCUUUUAUAUCAGUCAUUGAACUAUUGGUGGAGUAUAAGGGAAAAAAGAGUUAUUGUUGGCAAAUACAACAGAUUGACCCACAUUGCAUUAAACAAAUUCUUCUACAUCUUUACCUUUUAUACAAUAAUCUUUCUCCUUCCCUUUCACUUAAAAAUCUAGCUAUUUCCCAAGGAUUUGUCACCUGAAUUACAACUCAUUCAGUUACUAGGUUCACAAAGUUUAUAAAGGCUUUCAUGUAUAUGGAUAAAGUCAACCAAAAAACAAAACCAGAAACGAACAAAAACCAACCAAACAAACAAACAAAAAAACCAAACCAAAAAACUGUAUUAUUAAUCUCAUUAAUUUCCUGAAGGUGGCAGCCGAGUUCUACAAACUAGAACUGUAGCAGUGUCUAGGCUUCCUUCCCCUCCAGAUUUGCAGAAUAAAUGUUUCCAAGGAGAAUAGAUAUAAAAUGCUUUUCUGCAACCUUCCAGCAUUGAUUAUGAUCCUUAAAAUAAUUGUUUAUCAGUGUGAUAGGUUAAAACUAGCAUCUUGACAUCGUUUUAGUUUUCAUUUCUUUGAUAAUUAGGGAGGCUAAACAUAUUUUUGUGUUUCAAAGCAUUUCUCUUCUUUAAAUGAUUUUCAUAUUCUUUACCCUGUAUUUAUAUUGGGAUUCAAUUUUGUAGCCUUCACCUUUUCUCAUUAUCAAAAUAAUAUGUUCACACUGUCGAGAUUCAAAUGAACUUAGGAGAAAUUUUCAAACAUUCACAUUCAUAAUAUCAGAGACAACAACUUUAAUGUUUAGAUACAUUUUUACUAGCUCCCCCCCAUCUGUUUAGUUAGUUAUAUUUUUCACAUUUAACAUAAAUUUUCUCUAUAACCUGCUUUUAAAUAUAAUUGUAUGGUGAUAUUUCUCUAAGCCAUUAAUAAUUCUUGUGUAUAUUUAAAAAUAGCUUUAGUUUUUGAUUUUAAAAAUUAUUCAUGAUCACUGUUGACAAUUUGGUAGGUACAGGAAAAUUUAAUAUGGACAACAAUGUAUAUUCCCUCAACCUAUGAAUAACUAUUAUGAAGCUUUUUUUAGUGGUAUCACUAGCCCUUAUGUAUAUUUUGAAAUCACUAGAUAAAAAUUAGCCCUACAUUUAGAGUAAUUUCAAAAAAUGAAGUAGCAUUCAUAUUCCUUAUUAUCAAACUUUUGAUGUAUUUUCCCAACCAUUUUUCUGUGCAAGUAUUGCACAUUUUUAUUUUAUUGGCAUCAGACAGUAAUCUAUAUUUUACAUGUAUUAUUUAGUUUUAUAUACAUGCCACUGAAACAAUUUUCCAAGGGUAUCUUUUGUGCUCUAUAAUAAUUUAUUGUUUAAUCACAUAUUCCAUUUCUAUGAAUAUUGAAAUUCCCCCCCAUUUCACUAUUAGAAGCUAUGCUGUAAAGAAUUUUUGAGUAUAAACAUCUUCUGCAUUUCUGAUUUUUACCUUAUUAAGAGUCCCCAGUGUGGAAUAACUGAAAAAAAUGUUUUGACCAUUUUAUCAAAUACCAUAGCAAUUUAGAUUUAUGUAAAUAGUUCUUUCUUUGCAUCCUAGAUAAUAUUUAAUAGUUUAAUUCUUAGUAUUUAUACUUUUUAAGGUUGGAAACU
rnacentral:lncRNA from 1 species